rnacentral:rRNA from 1 species
GACAGAGGAUGCAAGCGUUAUCUGGAAUGAUUAGGCGUAAAGCGUCUGUAGGUAGCUUUUUAAUUCCGCCGUCAAAUCCCAGGGCUCAACCCUGGACAGGCGGUGGAAACUACCAAGCUGGAGUACGGUAGGGGCAGAGGGCUCGUAGAGCCGGUGGAGCGGUGAAAUGCGUAGGGAUCGGAAAGAACAUCAAUGGAGAAAACAUUCUGCUGGGCUGACACUGACACUGAGAGACGAAAGCUAGGGGAGCAAAUGGG